UACGAAGGGUGCAAGCGUUACUCGGAAUUACUAGGCGUAAAGCGUGCGUAGGUGGUGAGUUAAGUCUGAUGUGAAAUCCCCGGGCUCAACCUGGGAAUGGCAUUGGAUACUGGCUCGCUAGAGUGCGGUAGAGGGUGGUGGAAUUCCCGGUGUAGCAGUGAAAUGCGUAGAGAUCGGGAGGAACAUCUGUGGCGAAGGCGGCCACCUGGACCAACACUGACACUGAGGCACGAAAGCGUGGGGAGCAAACAGG
rnacentral:rRNA from 1 species